rnacentral:sRNA from 1 species
CCUGGUUUAUUAUCACCCCCUUUUCAAUGCCACUUUUGUUUUUCUCUUUCAAGUAUCAUUUCCAUCCAUAAUGGUCCCACUGGCCCGGAUUUUGCCCAAUAAGAACCGAGAUGAACUGAAUGGCUUUUUUAACGAACUCAUUAGGAAUGUGAUUGCCUUGCGGGACCAGCAAGCUGCCGAAGAGAGGCGGAGAGACUUCCUCCAAAUGGUCCUGGAUGCCCGACAUUCUGCAAGUCCCAUGGGCGUGCAAGACUUUGACAUCGUCAGAGACGUUUUCUCCUCUACUGGGUGCAAGCCGAACCCUCCCCGGCAACACCAGCCCAGACCCAUGGCCAGGCCUUUGACUGUGGAUGAGAUUGUGGGCCAGGCCUUCAUCUUCCUCAUCGCUGGCUAUGAAAUCGUCACCAACACACUUUCUUUUGCCACCUACCUACUGGCCACCAACCCUGACUGCCAAGAGAAGCUUCUGAGAGAGGUGGACCUUUUUAAGGAGAAACACGUG